GGAGUUGAUGCUGUUGGUUUAGCGUACUAGCUGUUAACUAGUGUGGUGUGGGAUCGAAGCCCUCCAGCUCCU
rnacentral:tRNA from 1 species